AAGAAAAUAGGUUAAAAGAUGAACUCACAAACCGUAUGGUUGAGUUCUUCAGAAAUGACACAUUCGACAAAACUAAGCUCCUUGAAAAAGUUGGCACAUAUCUAAAGUAUGUGAGGGACCGGUACAUGACACAUUUAGAGAAGAACAUAAAGUACGAGCGUCCUCCCAUGAUUCCAGAGAGGGAGUGGAAGGACCUGAUUUUGGAUGCGAAGGAGAGAGUUGAAAGGAAAAAAGGAAAUCCACCACUAGACGCCAGAAGAACACUGAGUGACACGUCAAAGGCAAUCAAGACAAGACAAGAAAAGCACGGGCAACACAAACUUGGUCUGGUGGUUAUAUGAAACUUGCCGCAUGAAUUGGCUCUGAAUUCAAUAGAGCACCCAUACAAGAUGACAAGAGAAUUUCCUACGAGCAAGGCUAUAGAACUAUGGAUGAAUGACUACGAGAAUUGAGUGGGCAAACACGAGAUUCUGGUGCAUCCAUCACAUAGCUUGAUAAUCGUGGAACACAACCUCCACAUGAAGGUCCGAAUGUGCAUCCUAGUAGUGGAGAGCAUGUAGUCGGUGGUGACCAAGUGGAGCAUGAUCUGGGUAGAUAAAAUCAAGAACGUGAUGUUCCCUAGUCAGAGGAUCUAGAGGGUGUCCAACAAGUUGAGGUUGAGGCUAGACAAAAUGAUUUCAAAGAUGAUGUGGCCCCAUCAGGUAAAGAGCGCCACAGUUAUGUUCUUUAAAUUAAUGAAAUACUUGUAACAAAAAUAAAAAAUGAUUUGAAUUUAA